rfam:Gloeophyllum trabeum ATCC 11539 unplaced genomic scaffold GLOTRscaffold_00017, whole genome shotgun sequence.
GCCCGCCUAGCUCAAUUGGCCAGAGCGUCAGACUUUUACGGCCAGUGAAGUUGUCGGGCAAAGAGAAUCUGAAGGCUGCGGGUUCGACCCCCGCGGUGGGCU